AAACACACAAACAUAGUCUUCUCUCUUCAUAUUACUACAAAACUUCCCAUGUACUCUCUCCUUGUUAGAAAUUAUAGCCUUAGUUUUCUGUCAUUAUUGGUAUCCCUUGUGACUAACCUUUAAGAUGAACUAGUAGGGAAAACUGCCUGUUUACUACAUCUGUUCACUGCUCUAGUGACUCUGAAGCAAAGCUUUAUUAACAGCAAGUUUCCCAUCUUUUCUCGUGAGAUGAUGCUUAGCUACUCUACUGCCUUGAUUGGGAAAUAGCAACUUCCUGCCUAAAUAUGAUCUUUCCAUUAUGAAUAGUUGGCACCCAUUAAGAUAAGCUUUCAUACCUGAGUAGUAUCUGAGGAUCAAGAUCGGCAGGGAAUUGUUUGGGAGUGAUCCUUUUUGUCCCCAAGAUAAAAACUACUUUUCAUUACCAACCUUAUCAUUUAUGUUUGUUGUUGUUUAGUUGUUUCAGUCAUGUUCGAUUCUUUAUGAUUCAUUUAAAGGUUUUCCUGGUAUACUGGAGUGGUUGGACAUUUAUUUCCUUCUUCAGCUCAUUCUACAGAUGAGGAAACUGAGGCAAACAUGGCUCAGAGAAUUGCCAUAACUCACAUAGCUAUCACUCAGAUGUUUCCAGCUCUAUUCCACUCAAGCCAAGUAGGCCACCACAAGAAGAAUAGGGCGGUGCUUCCCUGGUCCAUUGCUCUGCUUCACUUAGAAACAAGGCAUUUAAAAUCAUCAACAGAAGGCAUCGUAUUUUCACAGAACUUGGCACACAUGGAGGAAAAUUCAGAUUGUCAUGGUGAUAUCUGGCAUCUCUCGUCCUCUCCUGGGCUGUGGAGCUGAUUAACAUUUGCAGAAUUCUCUGAACUCCUCUGAUCAAAGGUGCAACGUUUCCGUUUCCUCAUCUGUAUGCAAAGCAGCCACACCAACUAAAAGCAUCUCAGUGGAAGAGCUAAACCAGAGUACUCCGGAAUACUGAAAUGGUGAUUUCAUCCAGUGAUCAAGACCAAGAUGCCUGAGAUACAUAGAGGCUAAGUGAGUUGCCCAACAUCCAGGUCACACAGCUAAUAAGGAUCAGAAGUGGAAAUAUAGGAUCAUGAGAGCAUAGAUGUAGAGCUGAAAGAUAUUUUAGAGACCAUUGAGUCCAUCCAUCUGAUUUUACAAAAGAGUAAACUGAGGCAUAGAGACUUACCCAGGACCACCUCCCUAAUUAGUAUCUUGGGUGGGAUUUGAACCCAGGUCUUCCCAACUCCAAGUCCAACACUCUAUCCAACACUACACACCUCUUCUAACACAGUAAGUCCUGUGGACACUUUUGAACCUUUUUCUUGUCCUUUUAGACCCCAAACAAAUGCACCCACUUCCCAAUUUCCGUACUAAGAAUGCUGAAUUCCUUUGGAGUUCAGUGUACAUACCCCUCCUGCCAGGCCUGUCAGCAGGAACCUGGGGGUUUGAUGCUCAGUCUUCUUAAGCGAAAACUGCACAAUCCAAACAGCCAGCUCUCGACACAGAUGGCGUUCCACUGUUCUCUGAAUUCCUCUCUGUACAAUAAACACAUCUGUCAAUUGGUCUCUAGCAUUAGUCUUCUCUUCUCUUUCUUUCCACUUGGCACCAGGGCUUUAAUUAUCAGCCAUUGCCAGCUGAAGGAACAUUUCCCAGUCCCCUCUCACUGCGCCCACCAAAAGAAAAAGAGGCUGCAUUUGAAAGGAGGCACAUCAGUCUGUCAUCAGGGCUUGCUCUCGGCAAAAACAGGAGGAAGGCAAAGUUAGUUCCCUGGCAUCCCCUCCCAUCUUCUUUCGAGAGGCUGGCAGAGUGGGAUGAUGGACAAAGAGCCUGCUGUCGUCUAUAGAGACAGCCAGAUUCAAAUCCUGCUUGUUUGACCUUGGAAGGAUCUUUGUGGCAUAGUCCUGACCUUGGCUAGAGGAAGACCUGAAAUCAACCGAGGACAUGUCACCAAGCCAUUGUG